CCGCUAGUUCGCACCUUUGGCCGCAGAAACAGCUUUUAUAUCCUGCCGCCCAAAAUUCCUUGUCCGUUCCCUCCCACCAUUGCCUUGGCCCUUGCCCGCCCCUCCCCAAAUCACAGCCCCCGCCGCGGCCUCGGGGAGGAGGAGGAGGAGGAGCAGGAGGGAGGAGGACACGAAGAAUAAAAACCGUGCUGCACGGAACACCGGGAAUUUUGCGCGGAGCAUCGAUCGGGGCACCAAUAAUGGCUCCGCCACCCAGCAGCAGCAGCACUCGGCACAUCGUCCUCCUCCUCACCGCGCUUCUCGCGUUGGCCUCCGCCCUCGGCGGCGUCUCGGCCGCCGGCGUCUUCAAGGUGCGCCGCAGGUUCGCUCGGCCAGGCGGCGAAGGCGGGGGCAACCUGACCGCCCACCUCGCCCACGACGGCGACCGCCACGGCCGCCUCCUCGCCGCCGCCGACGUGCCCCUCGGCGGCCUCGGCCUCCCCACCGGCACCGGGCUGUACUACACGAAGAUCGAGAUCGGGACGCCGCCCAAGCCGUUCCACGUGCAGGUGGACACCGGCAGCGACAUUCUCUGGGUGAACUGCGUCUCCUGCGACAAAUGCCCCACCAAGAGCGGCCUCGGGAUAGACCUGGCGUUGUACGACCCCAAGGGAUCAUCGAGUGGGAGCGCGGUGUCAUGCGACAACAAGUUCUGCGCGGCGACAUACGGGAGCGGGGAAAAGCUCCCCGGUUGCACCGCAGGCAAGCCUUGCGAGUACCGCGCCGAGUAUGGUGACGGAAGCUCCACGGCGGGGUCCUUCGUCAGCGACUCCCUGCAGUAUAACCAACUCUCUGGGAAUGCGCAAACACGGCAUGCCAAGGCCAAUGUCAUAUUCGGGUGCGGUGCACAGCAAGGUGGGGAUUUAGAAAGUACAAACCAGGCCCUUGAUGGAAUUAUUGGGUUUGGCCAAUCAAAUACAUCAACACUAUCACAACUAGCUAGUGCAGGGGAAGUGAAGAAGAUAUUUUCUCAUUGCUUGGAUACCAUAAAAGGAGGUGGAAUCUUUGCAAUUGGAGAAGUAGUACAACCAAAAGUAAAAUCAACGCCGUUACUACCGAAUAUGUCGCACUACAAUGUUAAUCUUCAGUCAAUCGAUGUUGCUGGUAAUGCACUACAGCUUCCACCACAUAUUUUUGAAACGAGUGAAAAGAGAGGUACCAUCAUUGAUAGUGGUACAACCUUAACAUAUCUUCCAGAGCUGGUUUACAAGGAUAUUCUUGCUGCGGUUUUUCAGAAGCAUCAGGAUAUAACUUUCCGUACUAUUCAAGGUUUUCUAUGUUUCGAAUAUUCUGAAAGUGUGGAUGAUGGGUUUCCAAAAAUCACCUUUCAUUUUGAGGAUGAUCUUGGACUGAACGUGUAUCCACAUGAUUAUUUUUUUCAAAAUGGGGUAAUAUAAAAUUUUACUAUUGUUGUUCUAGAAAAAGAAAUUGUGUGCUCCAAAAGUUGCCGAAGCACAAAAUAACUCCCAACCAAACCCUAAAUGCUCAAAUUUAAUCGGAGUAACAGUGUGGGUCCCUGCAGCUAGUAAGGGACCCAUGGCACAAUCAUGCAACAUUGGAUCUGCUUGUGUGUUAGCACGUGUAUCAUCCACUCGCUGUCUUUGGGCGCGCUAAGUCAUUAGGAAUCAGAUUUACUGGUUUUCCUUUGGAGUUAAGAUCAAGUUAUUAGGGCAACACCUUUGUAAAUUGGGGAGCAUUUUAUUCUUUGUGUAUGGGAAGAAGCGAUAAACAAAAGAAACUAGUAUUCAGAAGCUCGUAUCAACAUCAAUGGAGAAGGCCCCUGGUUGACCAGCCAAGGCGCAAGGAGUCAAGGACCCUGUUACUCAACCUGUCCAAAUAUACACAUCGCUAGUAUUGAGAAACUGGAGAUCGAUGCAGGGUGGCUAAAAUCUACAUGACAUGGGUCUUCAAAAUCCUGGUCAUGCAUGACAUGUUCAUCUUUUGUUCUCUAUGGUUGACAGGAUAACCUGUAUUGUCUUGGAUUCCAAAAUGGUGGAUUCCAACCAAAGGAUGCAAAAGAUAUGGUGCUUUUGGGAGAUCUGGUCCUUUCAAAUAAGGUGGUUGUCUAUGACUUGGAAAAACAAGUCAUUGGAUGGACCGAUUACAACU